AUACGGAGGAUCCGAGCGUUAUCCGGAUUUAUUGGGUUUAAAGGGUGCGCAGGCGGCCAUUUAAGUCAGCGGUUAAAUCGUGGGGCUCAACCCCAUUCUGCCGUUGAUACUGGGUGGCUUGAUUGCGGUCGAGGUUGGCGGAAUUCGUUGUGGAGCGGUGAAAUGCAUAGAUAUGACGAAGAACACCGAUUGCGUAGGCAGCUGACCAGAUCGCAAAUGACGCUCAUGCACGAAAGUGCGGGGAUCGAACAGGAUUAGAUACCCUGGUAGUCCGCACAGUAAACGAUGAAUACUUGUUUUCGGCGAUAUAAUGUCGGAGGCAAAGCGAAAGCGAUAAGUAUUCCACCUGGGGAGUACGCCGGCAACGGUGGAACUCAAAUGAAUUGACGGGG
rnacentral:rRNA from 1 species